GGAGGAGCUCCGCCCAGAAAGCUUUUCAGCUCCUCGGAGAACACUGGCUUGGUCUUGUCCAAGGAGAUGCCAGAGAUGCAAAAAUCUAACAGGAAGAAAGGAAGGAAAGAAGAAAAGGAGGAAAGGAGGAAAGAAAGAAAGAAGGAAGGAAGUUUUUUGAGAUGCAAAUGGACUUUAAAUUUAUCACAAACUCUGGUCAUUAGCUUCACAGACAUGCUACUCAAGGCUUAAGAAUAAAAGACUUUUUAAAGAAAUGUAACUGUUCAACAGUUGAGGAAGCCCAAGCUGCCUAAAAACUAAUGGGCAGAAAUGCAACACAGGCCUAACUUGGAAUUUUGAACUGUUAAGGUAGUCAGGAUAGUUCAGUAUUGUCUUGCACAGAGAAUUUAACUGCAUCGGUCUCAUGGAGACACGGACAUCUGUUUGUCUGUGUGACAGCCAAUCUCUUGUUGGCAAAGGCAAGGGAAUAUCCCAAAGCUUCACAGAAAGGCAAAUAAAAGAAAACAAAUGAUUCUCAGUUCAGCCCAUCUUUACUCAGCUUCAUCCCACAGUGUGUUAAUUAGAUGAGCAGAUGUAGAAUUUAGGAAGAUUUCCAGAUUAAUUGUCAGGAAAGUGAAACAGUUAGCACAGGCCUCACUAAGCAGGGUUCUAGUCUCUUGUCAUGUUGACACAAGCAGCACCACACCUGCCAACAGGGCAUCUGCAGUCUUCUCCCAGAAUUGGCCAAGACCAUCUCCUUGGCUCUGAUAUACAGCGAAGCCUCUUUAGAAGGAUCAACUUUGGUUGUAGAAGCAACACAGAAACCCAGGGCACUUUUUUUCUGAAUAAUGCCUCCUCACUCUGAGAUGCUGAUGAAAAGACUCAAGCUGUUCAUUUUUAGUCCAUCUCUUGGCAUUGGCCUAGAGACAUUUGUUUGAAUUGAUAAUAAAUUCCAGGAAUCUAAAGAAAAUGACAAUAUCACUUUCACAAAAUAUUCAAGGCUAACAAAAAAUGGGGGAGCUUUGUAUUGUGCUUAAAUAAAGGCUGAACGCAAUUUUUUUUGUGAAGGAAAGGAGCAUAUAUAACAGAACUUAAAGACUAAUUUGGUCUGGCAGGAGAGGAAUAGUCCUGGUCCCAUUUGCUAGGAAGAGAGCCUUUUCUGUCAUGGCUCCACCCUUUGGAACAUCACAAUCCAGGAAAUUACAGUAGAUUGGCUUUAGAUUGACUUUGUUGGCCUUUUGCAAGCCUUGCAGAUACAGCUAUGCCAUUGAACUGGGGGAUCUGGAUAUGUUGCAGAAGUUAUAUUGCUUUGUUGGCAGUUAUUUUUUAACUGUUUCCUAUUAUUAAGUUUUAUAUAAAGAUU